UACCCUCCCUUUGAACACAGUUCAGUAGAGAGGUUUUUUUUUUAAUGAGUUGAACCAAAAAAAUAAAAUAAAAAACACGCAUUCACUCUCUUUCUCUCCCUCUCUAUCGAUCAGUUGCAGCCUCUACAGCAAUGGAUAGCAGUAGUACGCCUUGUAAGCUGUUACUAUGUGGAAAAUCAUCUGCAGAGAAUGAAAUUGCUAAAUCAUUGAUGAACAAUAACACUCUUAAACUGCCGGAUAAUGUGGAAAUCUCUACUCUUUUGCACUCGGAGAUUCUUGAUGAGCCGCAGCAAAAUGAAGAAUCUUUCUCUCUUUCACGGUUUAUGAAUUCUCUUUCAACUAAUCUAUUCGGUAGAUUACUCAUUUGGUCUCCGCUAUUGCCUUCAACUCAUGAUCUUGUUUCCAACAAUUUUGGCGAGCUUCCAAUUGGUGCUGUUUGCAUUGCUGACGUUCAAUAUAAAGGGCGAGGCCGAUCGAAGAAUGUGUGGGAAUCUCCAGCAGGUUGCUUGAUGUUUUCAUUUACCAUUCAAAUGGAGGAUGGGCAAGUUGUGCCUUUGCUGCAAUACGUAGUGUCUCUUGCUGUUACAGAGGCAAUUAAGGAUCUUUGUGACGAAAAUGGCUUACCACAUAUUGACGUUAAAAUAAAAUGGCCAAAUGAUCUUUAUUUAAAUGGUGUUAAAGUUGGAGGCAUUCUCUGCACCUCAACAUACAGAUCAAAGAAGUUCAAUAUCAGUGCCGGUAUAGGCUUGAAUGUCGAUAAUGAGAAACCAACAACAUGCUUGAAUGCAGUCUUUAGAGAGUUGGCUGGUGCUGCAUGUGCAUUAAGAAGAGAAGAUAUUGUUGCAGCCUUUCUAAAUAAGUUUGAAAAACUUUAUGAUCUUUUCAUAAAUGGAGGAUUUCAAACUCUUGAGGAGCUUUACUAUAAAACAUGGCUGCAUAGCGGGCAGAGAGUUAUCAUCCAGGAGAAGAAUGAGAACCAAGUAGUGGAGAACGUGGUCACUAUUCAGGGCUUGACACCUUCUGGUUAUUUGCUAGCUAUUGGUGAAGACAAUCAAAUGUGUGAACUUCAUCCUGAUGGCAAUAGUUUCGACUUUUUCAAAGGACUGGUUAGAAGAAAAAUUGAAUAAAGAAGAUUCCCAGGCACCUUCCACCAGAGGCAAAAGUCAUGUUGGAACGGCAGCGUAGCUGAAGAUGUUUUAUGAACUGUAUCUCUUACUUUCAUCUUUGCGGAGAGCAGGCCAAGAUGUAUAGCAAUAAUCAAUCAUUUGUUAGAAACCUGGACACUUCUGUGCCAUCAGUGGAAUGAUACGAAUGAACAACUCCAUAAUUGAUUUGGUAUGUGGCUCAUCACUAGAGAAUAGAUACCUCGACUGUUAGUGCGGUCUGAGACUCAGACACUGGUACGACCUAUGAUCGAGACUUUGUCGUCAUUACAAUGGAAUUAUAUUGAGGUUUAGUCUUCUUCAAGAGGCUGCAAAUGAGCAAGUAAAGAUAAAGUCUUCUUCAAGAGGCUGCAAAUGAGCAAGUAAAGAUAAAGCUCUUUCAAAUCUGGGUAAAUAAAUUAAUAUUUUUAUAUAAUUCAAGGUCAAGAAUCUAGGUCCUAAAAACUCAAGGCUAGUUAUUUAUAAUUCCAAGAGCAGGAUUCGCCAAUCAUCUACAAAAUCCUUCGGCUCAGAAUUGAUAUCCUGUGUUCCAUAUUCCAUUGUUUAUAUUUCACUCACACUCUCUCAUGCAUAAAGAAGUGUGAAAGGGGCAUUUGUGAAGAUGUACAGGGAGGUCUUUGUGUUUCGAGUGGGAAAAAAAGAAGAAGAGGAUCGGUCAAAUGCACAAUCACAUGACCAGCAGGCAUGGUGGACCUGGUGAGUGGGAGAUAGAAUCAAAUAAAACGAGGUUAGCACGUGGAAUAAGGAAAAAAGAUGCUGCAAGUUGGAGUGGUGUAGAAAUUGCUCGAGUUCCCUUCUCAUCCGCAAGUAGAGUUCUUCAAAACAGCAGCAGCUCGGCGUUUAGUAGUGCGUUGUAGCUUUUAUUGUCUGCUAGCGUGUCGUGCCUCUGCCCUCCUUUGGUGCAAUUAAGAUUUUCUUGUCUACAGGCCAUCAACGUAAAAGUGAUCGAUCCUGCACGAGUUUUCAUUCUCUUUUGGCACCUUCGUUUUUAUCUAAAUUAUAUUAAUAGUAUUCGUGUGGUAAGAAGAAGCAAUAUAAUUGCCUCUCGUAAUUGUUUUAGUAAACUUCAGCGAUAGGCUGAGCUAUUAUAUAAUUACAAAAGCCAUAAGAGUUUAAAAAUCUGACCAAGACAAUAAAUAUUGUAAAACUCCCUCUUGAGUUUAAUCUUGCAAUUUUUCCCUCAAA